UACGAAGGGUGCAAGCGUUGUUCGGAAUUACUGGGCGUAAAGGGUGUGUAGGCGGUUAUGUAAGAUAGCGGUGAAAUACCGGGGCUCAACCUCGGAACUGCCGUUAUAACUAUAUAACUAGAGUGACAGAGAGGAUAUUGGAAUACCCAGUGUAGAGGUGAAAUUCGUAGAUAUUGGGUAGAACACCGGUGGCGAAGGCGAGUAUCUGGCUGUCAACUGACGCUGAGGCACGAAAGCAUGGGGAUCAAAC
rnacentral:rRNA from 1 species